CCUACGGGGCGCAGCAGUGGGGAAUAUUGGACAAUGGGCGAAAGCCUGAUCCAGCCAUGCCGCGUGUGUGAAGAAGGCCUUCGGGUUGUAAAGCACUUUCAGUGGGGAAGAAAGCCUUGGGGCUAAUACCCUCGAGGAAGGACAUCACCCACAGAAGAAGCACCGGCUAACUCCGUGCCAGCAGCCGCGGUAAUACGGAGGGUGCGAGCGUUAAUCGGAAUUACUGGGCGUAAAGCGCGCGUAGGCGGUCUGAUAAGCCGGUUGUGAAAGCCCCGGGCUCAACCUGGGAACGGCAUCCGGAACUGUCAGGCUAGAGUGCAGGAGAGGAAGGUAGAAUUCCCGGUGUAGCGGUGAAAUGCGUAGAGAUCGGGAGGAAUACCAGUGGCGAAGGCGGCCUUCUGGACUGACACUGACGCUGAGGUGCGAAAGCGUGGGUAGCAAACAGGAUUAGAUACCCCUGUAGC
rnacentral:rRNA from 1 species